UUUUUAUGGAGAGUUUGAUCCUGGCUCAGGAUGAACGCUGGCGGCGUGCCUAAUACAUGCAAGUCGAGCGAACAGACGAGGAGCUUGCUCCUCUGACGUUAGCGGCGGACGGGUGAGUAACACGUGGAUAACCUACCUAAUAA
rnacentral:rRNA from 1 species